GACGAACGCUGGCGGCGUGCCUAAUACAUGCAAGUCGAACGCUUCUUUCCUCCCGAGUGCUUGCACUCAAUUGGAAAGAGGAGUGGCGGACGGGUGAGUAACACGUGGGUAACCUACCCAUCAGAGGGGGAUAACACUGGGAAACAGGUGCUAAUACCGCAUAACAGUUUAUGCCGCAUGGCAUAAGAGUGAAAGGCGCUUUCGGGUGUCGCUGAUGGAUGGACCCGCGGUGCAUUAGCUAGUUGGUGAGGUAACGGCUCACCAAGGCCACGAUGCAUAGCCGACCUGAGAGGGUGAUCGGCCACACUGGGACUGAGACACGGCCCAGACUCCUACGGGAGGCAGCAGUAGGGAAUCUUCGGCAAUGGACGAAAGUCUGACCGAGCAACGCCGCGUGAGUGAAGAAGGUUUUCGGAUCGUAAAACUCUGUUGUUAGAGAAGAACAAGGACGUUAGUAACUGAACGUCCCCUGACGGUAUCUAACCAGAAAGCCACGGCUAACUACGUG
rnacentral:rRNA from 1 species